GAUGAAGAACGCAGCGAAAUGCGAUAAGUAAUGCGAAUUGCAGAAUCCGUGAGUCAUCGAAUCUUUGAACGCACAUUGCGCCCCUUGGUUAUUCCGAAGGGCAUGCCUGUUCGAGCGUCAUUAUAACCCCUCAAGCUCAGCUUGGUGUUGGGGCCUGCCGACUGGCAGCCCUUAAAAUCAGUGGCGGCGCCAUCUGGCUCUAAGCGUAGUAAUUUCUCUCGCUAUAGAGUCCCGGUGGAUGCUUGCCAGCAACCCCCAACUUUCUAUGGUUGACCUCGGAUCAGGUAGGGAUACCCGCUGAACUUAAGCAUAUCAAUAAGCGGAGGA
rnacentral:misc_RNA from 1 species